GACGAACGCUGGCGGCGUGCUUAACACAUGCAAGUCAGGGGGCGGGGUAACCCUUCACCGGCGAACGGGUGCGGAACACGUGAGCGACCUGCCCUGGUGUUGGGGAUAGCCGGCCCAACUGCCGGGUAAUACCUCAUACGGCUCCCGCUUGGAAGCUGGAGGCGCAUCUCGCACGAGGCGCUAGGAGGGGCUCGCGGCCUAUCCGCUAGUUGGUUCGGUAACGGCGCACCAAGGCGAUGACCGGUAGCUGGUCUGAGAGGAUGGCCAGCCACAUUGGGACUGAGAGACGGCCCAGACACCUACGGGAGGCAGCAGUGGGGAAGAAGGCGCAAUGGGCGAAAGAAGGACGCAGCGACGCCGCGUGGAGGAUGAGGCCCUUAGGGGUGUAAACUGGUGUUGCCCGGGACGAAUGCCCCGCAUAGGGGGGGUUGACGGGACCGGGUGAGGAAGCACCGGCUAACUCUGU
rnacentral:rRNA from 1 species